rnacentral:tRNA from 1 species
GCUGAGGUGGUGUAAUUGGUAGCCACGCGGGUCUUAGAAGCCCGUGUCGAAAGACGUGCGAGUUCGAGUCUCGCCCUCAGCACCA